rnacentral:rRNA from 1 species
ACACGUAGGAGGCAAGCGUUAUCCGGAUUUACUGGGCGUAAAGCGCGUGCAGGCGGUCUGGUAAGUUGGAUGUGAAAGCUCCCGGCUCAACUGGGAGAGGUCGUUCAAAACUGCCGGACUAGAGGACGGUAGAGGGAGGUGGAAUUCCCGGUGUAGUGGUGAAAUGCGUAGAUAUCGGGAGGAACACCAGUGGCGAAGGCGGCCUCCUGGGCCGUUCCUGACGCUAAGACGCGAAAGCGUGGGGAGCGAAGGGGAUUAGAAACCCUAGUAGUCC